AUCGCUUCUCGGCCUUUUGGCUCAGAUCAAGUGUAGUAUCUGUUCUUAUCAGUUUAAUAUCUGAUACGUCCCCCAUCGGGGGACUACAUAUUAAAUGGAUUUUUCGAACAGGGAGUCGGAAAUGGGGCUUGCUCCGUCCGCUUCCACGCAUCGACCCGGUAUUGCAGUACCUCCGGGAACGGUGCAACACUU
rnacentral:snRNA from 1 species